rnacentral:rRNA from 1 species
GGAAACUGGGAGACUUGAGUGCAGAAGAGGAGAGUGGAACUCCAUGUGUAGCGGUGAAAUGCGUAGAUAUAUGGAAGAACACCAGUGGCGAAAGCGGCUCUCUGGUCUGUAACUGACGCUGAGGUUCGAAAGCGUGGGUAGCAAACAGGAUUAGAUACCCUGGUAGUCCACGCCGUAAACGAUGAAUGCUAAGUGUUGGAGGGUUUCCGCCCUUCAGUGCUGCAGCUAACGCAAUAAGCAUUCCGC